rnacentral:rRNA from 1 species
AAUACAUUACUGAGAGGUUACUUAAGCCUUGGGGGUUGGCCUAACUUAAGGUCUUCUCUUAAGGUUCCUCACAGUUAUGUGCAAUGUUGGGUCACCUUGGUUGACUCUGCCUAAAGCUUUUGACUUGAAAAAAGACUUGAGCAAUGGGCUGGCCUUAGGGGCCCCUAGUAUGUUUAUCAUACUAACCCCAAAGGUUUUUUCUACUAUGUCUAUGAAUUGAUGUAUGAAAAAAAAGUUAUUUGUUAACUUGAAGGCUUCUGUAAAAAGAGUCUUUAAAAACAACUCUUGGCAAUGGAUCUCUUGGUUCUCGCAUCGAUGAAGAGCGUAGCAAAGUGCGAUAAUUAUUGCGACUUGCAUUCAUAGUGAAUCAUCGAGUUCUUGAACGCAUCUUGCGCCUAGUAGUCAAUCUACUAGGCACAGUUGUUUCAGUAUCUGCAUCCACCAAUCAACUUAACCUUUUGUGUUGAGUUGGAACUGGGCUUCUAGUUGAUGGCAUUUAGUUGCUGUCAUGGCCUUAAAUCAAUGUCCUAGGUGUUAGAACAUCUAACACCGGAUGGAAACUUUAGAGCGCUUUAAGAGCAGCUUGGUUAGUGAGUUCAAUAAUUCCAAGCAUUAAGUCUUUUAAUGAACUAGC